rnacentral:rRNA from 1 species
GAUGAACGCUGGCGGCGUGCCUAAUACAUGCAAGUCGAGCGAACAGACGAGGAGCUUGCUCCUCUGACGUUAGCGGCGGACGGGUGAGUAACACGUGGAUAACCUACCUAUAAGACUGGGAUAACUUCGGGAAACCGGAGCUAAUACCGGAUAAUAUAUUGAACCGCAUGGUUCAAUAGUGAAAGACGGUUUUGCUGUCACUUAUAGAUGGAUCCGCGCCGCAUUAGCUAGUUGGUAAGGUAACGGCUUACCAAGGCAACGAUGCGUAGCCGACCUGAGAGGGUGGCCGGCCCACCUGGAACUAGACCAGGGCACAGCCCCCCAGGGGGGGCGGCGUGGGGAAUUUUUCCCAAUGGGGGGAAAGCUUAACGGGGCAACCCGCGGUGGGGGAGAAGGUCUUGCGGUUCUAAAACCCUUUUAUUUGGGAAAAAAAAAAUUUGUAAAAAACUUUGCACGUUUGGGCGGACCCAAAUCAAAAACCCCCGCCAACUUCCUG